CUAAGUCACAAGGGUUUAGGAGCAAUUGUUACUGGAUGCAAGGAACUUACACAUCUUAAAGUCAAUGGAUGUCACAAUAUUCGAGCUUUGGGACUAGAAUCCAUUGGAAGAUCUUGUCAGAUGGAGAAGGAUGUAAGUUCCUACAAACUCUUCAACAGGUAGACUACUCAAACCUUGGGGAUGGUGCUAUAUGUGGUAUACCUAUUGGCUGUAGAAAUUUAAAGAAACUUCAUAUCCAUUGCUGUUAUGAGGUGCAGAUGAUUCUGCCACAGUUGAGGUUAUUGCUGUUUGAUUUCGAUGGCUAAUUUAUAUAUAACU